rnacentral:rRNA from 1 species
AGGGAAUAGAUACCCCGGUAGUCCUAGCCCUAAACUAUGCUCAUUAGAUGUGGGAGGUAUCGACCCCUUCCGCGUCGUAGCUAAACGCAUUAAAUGAGCCGCCUGGGGAGUACGGCCGCAAGGUUGAAACUCAAAGGAAUUGACGGGGGCCCGCACAAGCGGUGGAACAUGUGGUUUAAUUCGACACAACGCGAAGAACCUUACCUGGGCUUGAACUACAGAUGGUAAGCACCUGGAAACAGGAGCUGACCCGCAAGGGAGUCUGCAGAGGUGCUGCAUGGUUGUCGUCAGCUCGUGUCGUGAGAUGUUGGGUUAAGUCCCGCAACGAGCGCAACCCCCAUCUCAUGUUGCUAACCCCGCAAGGGAUGCACUCUUGAGAAACUGCCUUCGAUAAGAAGGAGGAAGGUGGGGAUGACGUCAAAUCCUCAUGGCCCUUAUGUCCAGGGCUACACACGUGUUACAAUGGUCGGUACAACGGGAAGCAAAGCCGCAAGUGGAGCAAAACCCUGAAAGCCGACCUCAGUUCGGAUUGUGGGCUGAAACUC